UUGCUUGCUUUAGCACAUACACUAACAUUGGAAUGAUGCAGAGAAGAUGAGCAUGGGUCUUGGGCAAGGAUGUCACACAAAUUCACGAAGCACUCCUUAUUUUU
rnacentral:snRNA from 1 species